rnacentral:lncRNA from 1 species
AAACCGGCUGCAAUUAAUUAAACAAAAACGAGUGUCAUUCAAAGAAACAGAGAAGACAUUUCAGAGAGCAUUAAAAUAUGGUGUUGGGAGAAUUAUCGUAUACCAAUGAAAACAUUAAAAAUAUUCGUGGCUUUGUCUGUUACUGGGAACUAAUAAACAUUGGCGUAUUUUUCUAUCUCAGUGUUCUAGAGCUUUUGUUAAAACGACAAGAAAACGAUGCAGUAUUGAGAUCAAAUUAUGGAUAUGCUCCGUGAUCUCAUUAUUUUAAAUUAAUAUUUAAGCAAUUAUUGAAGUUAGGAAUUUUUGAUUUAGUAAUCCCAAGAGAUUUUUGGUUAAGGAAAAUUACGUAUUAAAUAGUCUUUGAGAAUGAACAACAAGUUACUUCCAACUAACUCGUAACAAACAAAAGUUUCGAGAAAAAAAAAUUGACGUUUCUCUAGUCAUAACAUGGGAAAUAAAGCGAUUGACUAACUUGAUUUCUACGAUGAAAUUUUAAGGAUCGUGUGUCUGACACAUCGAUUGUUUUCACCGUUAAUUUGCGUUGCGCGUUUCUUUCGUACCUAUUGUUCUAUUUUUCUUGGCACUCGACAAUCGGAAUUCAAGUACAUGAACCUUAAGCUAAAAAUAGCUUUCCUCGUGCCAGAGCGCGUUGAAAAGUUUCGUCAUUCCUUUUGGAUGUCUCAAAGCCACUUGCAUUUUGCCCUCUUUGAACAAAGACUUUAUAUUUGUCACUGGUGUAAUUUUCUUUCCUUUUGUUCCACCAUUUAGCUCGUUCAUUCGGUCUCUUUCUAUUCACCCGAGAUCAAACUUUCGCGAAACUCGCUCGGGAGUGGUGAGAGGAUCGUCACUCACCAAAGAGGAGAAGAGAGGCAUAUCUUUGUGAGCGAAUGAUAAAAUAAAAUUGAAAAAAGAACCACAAACUUAUACUAUUUUUGAACUCACGGGCCACUCGGAAUACCGCUAUUUCGCCAGACGUACUGUGGGGGGCACCAAAAUGAACUCCAGACACAAGGAGCAGCGUGUCAGACGAAUUAAAUUGCGAAAACUGCGUGUAUUUCCAGCUGAACGCCUUCAUAUCGUGGUGAUACUUUAUCGAAACCGGAUAUUGACUGUCCCACACCUGCGUCGAGAUAUUUUAUUCAAUAGUUAAUAUUAUUGUCAUAAACAAUUUUUGAAAUAGCAAAUAGCGAUGAUAGAUAUUAGUUUUACCAAAAUAUAACCAUCCUUUGAGCACGUGGCAAACAUUUUUCCAUUGUGGGAAAAACUGACGUGCAAUACUUGAUGACAAUGCUCUUUUUGAACUUCCGUCUCUAGUAGCGGAGUGUGAUAAGUCAAUCUUUUGAAUUCGCUCAGCCAAGAUGUUUUUCCUGGAAUUAUAAAGUCAACAAUUUAUUCAUUAUUUUCAACAUUGUCAUUGAGUUUUGUUCAGUUUUAAUCUAUGUGGAAUUUUAUUUCAUUCUUCGAAUGAAAAUAUUUUUCUAUAGCUACCAACAUAAGUUAAUGGAUGAACGAGUUCGAUAGUGAAAAAAAAAAUCAUUGUCUAUUCUAGUUCCUCAAAGUGGCAAUAACAUCAAAAUAGCAAAUUUUCAAUUAUUGGCAGACAGGGAAUCGAAAGUAAAUUACUUCAACAUAAAAUGACUAAACAAAACUCUAUUAUUUGAUAUUUCACUUCAAAUUGUGUUUUUAUAUAAAAAAUUUGACUAAGCGGAAUACUUUUGCACUUUUCUUAAUUGACAAAUCCUAUACAAAUCAGAAUUUGUACUGUUCAGAAAUGAGUACAAGAGUUUCUUGAAAAUUGAAUGUUAUUAAAAUAAAAUACUCAACAUCGGUACAAGAAA